UAGCUCAGCUGGAUAGAGUACCUGGCUACGAACCAGGCGGUCGGAGGUUCGAAUCCUC
rnacentral:tRNA from 1 species